rnacentral:rRNA from 1 species
UACGGAGGGGACUAGCGUUGUUCGGAAUUACUGGGCGUAAAGCGCACGUAGGCGGAUUUGUAAGUCAGGGGUGAAAUCCCGGGGCUCAACCUCGGAACUGCCUUUGAUACUGCAAAUCUCGAGUCCGGAAGAGGUGAGUGGAAUUCCUAGUGUAGAGGUGAAAUUCGUAGAUAUUAGGAAGAACACCAGUGGCGAGGGCGGCUCACUGGUCCGGUACUGACGCUGAGGUGCGAAAGCGUGGGGAGCAAACAGGG